GGAGCCGCAGGCAAGGGACUAAGGGGAGGGGGGCUCAGUGCCAGCUGCUUAAAAAUGCCCCUGUGGCAGCGAGGGGCACCAGAGGCUGGGUCUAAUUAGUUGAGAAGCAGUGACACCCCCAACCACUCCCCAAACAGGCUGGCUCCCGUCUCCAGGCCCCAAGGAGCCACACCUGGACCAGACCCCAGGAAAGACAUGUGGUGGAAACCCUACGGCCCUGGAGCCCAAGGAGAGCAACGGCUGUAACAAGUGCACAGGCAAGGGCGCUAGCUGGUGGGAGCCACCCCGCCAUGCUGAUGUCAGAGAAGCAAGAACUCUGGAGAAGCAGCCUCCUGGGACCAGAGGAGGGCCAGCAGCAGGCAGCCCGGAGACAGAACUCUCACCCACGCCUCUCCAAGCCUCCCAACAGAAGACAGAGGUCCCCCACAGCCAGAGACAUUUCCUGAAGACAUGGGGAACACAGAGGCAGAAACAGCCCAUCCACCCAGGAGCUGUCCCCCACACUGCCGGGAGCCGGCACCCAGAGCCGCCAGGUAAAACUGAGGCCACCUGGUUCAACAUCACCUUUCACAGAAGGGGAAGCAGCCACAGAAAGAAGGGCCUCGUUAAGAAGUGGAACCUGGGACCCCCAAGCGGUGUCUCUCAUCCUGACUGGGGAUCCAGAGUAGGAGGGAGCCUUUGGUGGGACACAAAGGAACAGAACGAGGCACCAACAGCAAGGGGCAAGCAGAUUCAAGGGCCACAGAGGAGAUGGAGGCAAACACCUUCCCCUGGUCAGAGGCUGUGCCUCAGCCCUUCUCCCUGCAUCAGUUUCUCCUUCAGAAGCAUGGGACUACCUCCCAUCUAGUUCUCGUUUCUAAACCUAGGGGAGAUGCUAUCUUUGCUGCAAUAAUCUUAGCCUACAUCUUGGAAUGGAAAUGGCCUUGGUGGAAAUGGUCUUCAACUCCUCUGGUCCAAGCUCAGGCCCUGUGACCCUGGAACAAUCCCCUUCCUGGUCCUCCAUGUAGGAGCAAUAACAUUCCCUUGCCAGCAGCACCAGCCAUUCUGAUGAUUAAAUGGUAUCGGACUCUGUUUUCCAAACUCAGUCAUUCAGAUGCCCCCUAUUUUAUUUCUUCCAUGUCUGCAAAUGAUUAUAAUAUUUUUAAAUGUAGGAUGAGUCCUUUUUAUUACACAUAGAAAUAGCUACUGUAAAUAGCAAACUCUAACACUGUGCCUAAUUAGGAAAUAAAGGUAACCAUAAAUACA
rnacentral:lncRNA from 1 species